rnacentral:rRNA from 1 species
AGGAUAAACGCUGGCGGCGUGCCUAACACAUGCAAGUCGAACGCGCUUUCGGGCUUCGGUGCGAGAGCGAGUGGCGGACGGGUGAGUAACACAUGGGUACCUGCCUUUCAGUGAGGGAUACCGGCGAGAAAUCGCCGACAAUACCGCAUGGGCUUGUGGGAACACAAGCAAAGUGGCGCAAGCCACGCUGGAAGAUGGGCCUGUGGCCGAUUAGCUAGUUGGGGGGGUAACGGCCUCCCAAGGCGACGAUCGGUAGCUGGUCUGAGAGGACGAUCAGCCACACUGGGAUUGAGAACGGCCCAGACUCCUACGGGGGCAGCAGUGAGGAAUUUUCCGCAAUGGAGGCAACUCUGACGGAGCAACGCCGCGUGCAGGAGGAAGGUUUUCGGAUCGUAAACUGCUUUUCUCGGGGACGAGCAAGGACGGUACCCGAGGAAGAAGCCCGGCUAACUACGUGCCAGCAGCCGC